UGAAAUAACCACACACAGAAUUCGUGUGAUCGCAAAAUGGCGGUUAAACCUGGAGAGAAAAGGAACUGUUUAAAAAUAAGCAAUGCUUUCCAGAAAGAGAUACACCAAGUUUUGUAAUUGAAGGAGAAGGUUAUACAUUAUUGUAAUCAUGGCUUUUGAACGUUUUUUUUAGUUUCAAUGAAAACAGUGGCUAUGCCAAAGUCUGAAAAUUCACUUUCUCUUUUCCUCUACUUUCUUGUAUCAAAACGAUUUGCAUUGAAAAGAUGCUACGGAUAUUAUAUGCUUUAUUGAGUUGCUUUGACUGUCUCCAGUAUCGUCGAUUCCAUCCCAGCUAGCACCACGUAACGUUCAAAUAACGUUACGCUUAAGUUCUAUUUAGGUUAUGAUCACACAGAACGUUCCCAGAACGUUUUCAGAACGUUCUAACAAAACUCACACUAUCAGUAUUCGUAACUUAUUUUAGUUAUAUAAAAUAUAUAUUAUGAAAGUCACAUUAUAACAGUGUAUUUUUACGAUCCUAGGAUGUAUUGGUGGACUUUAAAGUUUAACGUUCCUGUAACGUUCUUACAACGUUUUUGUCGGAACGUUAUCGGGAAACCAAAUUUCAAAGUUACAUCCCAAACGUUCGCAGAACAUUAUAAGAACGUUUAGCAAUCACACAAUAUAAACAUGUACAUUAAAUUGUUAUAUGUUUUCAUAAAGAAUUUGACGUUUUUUUUGUUGUGUUUUUUUUAAAUAUAAAAUACGUGUAUAAGUAGAUUUGCAUUUUGACCCGUUUGUGUAUCUUCGAAUGUUUGCAAGCGCGAUUCUCUUGUUAUCUAAACCAGCAUGUUUAUGGUGUACUUAAUAAACUACAUGUAUUGUUUAUAAGUUUAUUAUACAUCCAUUAUAAAUAUAUCAUCAGGCAACUUGAUGGUGCGCGUGUAUGUGGGGAGCGCUAGCAAUAGACUGAGUAAACUGCGGAGGCAUGUAUGUAUAUACUAACAGAGUGGCAUGGCGUAUGACUCAUGCAUUCAAUUUAAGGCCUAUACUGUUACACAGCAGAUCUCCCGCGUGCGUUCCACUCUAUUCAUGUGUUCACUGACCUACUCAGUACUGGCUAAUUGGAUUUUAAAAACUUUGCUGUUGUUGAAAGUUAACCUUUUUGUUCAACAAUAAGAGAAGUUGGAACUUACACUCGACGAUAAUCAACAUUUUGCGAGGACAACUGGGAAGACACCCGUACAGAUCCGGAUUCAAGACAAAAAAGAACAACAAUGCGAUGAUAUAUAUUUGUAUUAAUUACACUCAUGCAAUAAACUUGUGUAUAAUAAAAAUGUGUUGGUUUUUAACCUCAAUACGACAAUUAGAUUUAGGCUCGUUUUAGGUUAAAUGAUAACGUUAUUCCGCAACGUUUCUGGAACGUUAAGCGAACCAUACAUUUUAACGUUAGGAGAACGUUGCAGUGAAACGUUUCUGGAACGUUUGGGCUAACGUUAGGAUAACGUUCUAAGAACGUUUUUGUGCUAGCUGGGAUAGUAAACAACAACUAUUUUUGUGAAAACUAAGCUAAUUAGUUUGAGUUGAUAUAUGAUCAAGUAUUGUGUAAUUGAUCUCUAGAAUUUCUCAGCGUAAACAACCUGGUUCCCGAGCUCCGAAAUAUCAAUUUCUUUUCUCUUCUUAUUUGCCUCGAAGCGACUUCCAUGUUGAGCGCCGACUAAGUUCAUGAUGGUUGAAAGAAGGAAUACGGCGAUCCCGUAAGCCAGUAGCGUAUAAAGGAACGUCUUCGGCCCGUAGUUAUCGAAGAGGAAUCCCAUGACCUUCAUGUAGGCAAUUCCGCCGACGGAGCCACCGAGAAGGAAUAUGGUGAUUGCGAUACCGGUGACGUCGAUGUGGAAGUUUGCCCAGCUUAUACCGGACGGGAAGAGGGGCGCGAUGAACACGCCAAAGAUCGGCAUGAUCACCCACAGCGCAAGGUGACUCCUAGUACCGAGGAAGACGAGUGCGAUGCCAGAGGCCAGGCAUCCACCAGUCUCGAUCAUGAUAAGGAUCCGAAUGGGCACCCAGUGCGCCGCGACGAAUGCGCCUAUGCGGCCACACGUAAAAGCUAUCCAGAAGACCGUGUUAAGAUAGAUAGCGUCGUCUUGGGAAAAGUCGAGGUACUCGAUGGCGUAGGAGCGAAUAAACUUCCCUGCGAUUCGCUCGCCGC